rnacentral:rRNA from 1 species
CGGUAAUUCCUACGGGAGGCAGCAGUGGGGAAUUUUGGACAAUGGGCGCAAGCCUGAUCCAGCCAUGCCGCGUGAGUGAAGAAGGCCUUCGGGUUGUAAAGCUCUUUCAGUUGGGAAGAAACGAUUACAACUAAUAAUUGUAAUUAAUGACGGUACCGACAGAAGAAGCACCGGCUAACUACGUGCCAGCAGCCGCGGUAAU